rnacentral:misc_RNA from 1 species
AGGAAAUCCUCCAAAUCACGUACACCUGUACAGGCGUGCUCGUGCGCACUAGGGAAGCAGACAGCACGGCUGCACGUUGGCGCUUGCGUGUGUGUGCGUGUGGGGGCCUGAGAGAGCGGAAUGGCCGCAUUGCUGCGGAGACGGAACACUCGCAUAUGCAGAUCAACGGGAAAAAAGAGGGAAACGGCGAAAGGCGAUUCGAGCCGCCCGUGGCGCCGUUGGAGCUGCUGUGGCGGUGCCACGACGCUUUGUGUGUGCGUGUUUUUUUUUUCUUUCGCCGGCGCAGAGGCACAAAUACGUGUGCGGGCACACGUUUGUGCGUGCGCGACGUGAUUGCAUCUUGUUUCUGCACUCCUCACUCUUGAUUCUUGAGCACGUAAGGGCUCCACUUCGACGGCGCAGAGAUCCAAUGUAUUCUGUGCUAUCGCAUUCAAGGUCGAGCCUCCGCCGCAUCGGCGCAUCAGCAAGCCCCUGUGCUUGCCUGCGCAAUGAAGGCUUGCGCUCCUUGAAUCGUGUAGCUCUCCCUGUAGGGGUACCCACGACACCAUCGCAUCCGCCUGCGUGCGCGUUGACAACACAGACCUCGGCGGCGCCGCCGCAGCCCUUCCGCCUUACGCGUGGAAUGGCGGUGAAUGCUUUUUUUGCGAAGAGCGCGAGCGCCGCUCUUGCCCCCAUCGCGAAAGGGAGCAUAAAAUCCAAGAUUGCUGGAACCGUCUACGCCGUUCACUUGCAGCACCUCUUUUUGUCGCCCAUCAUCGAGGUCGGCUCUCGCGUCUACCUUGAGCGCGACAAGGGCGAGGAGUACGCCGGCACCGUAGUGGGCGGCACUGUGGUCCGCGUCAACGGUAACGGAACGUAUGGGGUGUUGCUCGACAACAACAGCUUCGACAUGGCUGUUCCCGCAGAUAUGGUGGUCUUUUCAGAAGGCCGAGGCAAGUUGGCGAGCGACGCUGAGCACCGCGAGGUGGUGGAGUGGUUGCGCAGGGCCGGCGUGGCGCGAAGGGCACACCAGGAGAGCAUUGCGUGCGCCCUUUUCCAUCGCGGCUGGCGCGCACACAGGCUGUAUUUGCUGCAGGCCUCCGACGUGCACUGCGUGACGCACAUCCCGAAAGCUGUGCGCAUGCGCGUGCUGGAUGAAGCGGAGUCCCAGAGAGACCACCAUCGCCAAAUGCGGCAGUUGCUGAAGGAGCGGGUCAUGGAGCGGGACUUCCGCUACAAGCUUACCAAGUACAGCGGUGUGGUAAGCGCGUCAAUGGCUCUCCUUGGCAUUGCCUUCGCGUUUGGGUGGAACGUAAAAAAUUCUCGCACGCAAAAGCGAGAGCAUCAGCUGAAGGUUGCCGUCAAGGCCCUCAUGCAGACGCUGAAUCAGCACCACAACACCUUGCAAGGGACCACACCGGUGGCACAACACUUUGUUCGACGCGAAAAAGAGGAGAGCGCAGUUCGCCAGGCGCUCCGUCGGCUCGAUGUGGCGCAUCCGCGAAUCAUUGUCUUUACGGGCUUUCGCGGCUGCGGCAAGAGCACCCUGUGCCGCAACGCUGUGCUGCAGGAGCGCGUGCCAGCGGUCUACGUGGAUAUCCGCGGCACCGAGGACACGCUGCGCAGCGUCGUCAAAGCACUUGGAGUGAACAGGGUGGAGGUGUGCGGCGACUUGCUGGAGUUUGUGGCAGACUCGUGUCGGACAGCAAAAGCUACCAACGGCGAGACGCCGUUGCUCGUACUAAAGUUGCGCGAGGGCAGCAACUUUCAGCGAGUGUACAACGACGCUGUCGCGCUGGGGUGCGACCGCCGUCUGUGCCACGUCGCCAUUGAGGUGCCCAUAGAGUCGCUCAGCAUGGCCACCGCAGGGCUGCCACGCCUGGACUUCUGCAUGAUUGCCAUGUUCAGUCGCGAGCAGGCGUUCGCGUACACGCAGCACACCAUGGACGCUGUCGGUCUCAACCACUUCAUCGACAUCAUCGGAACAAACAGCAAUGACUUGGACGAGCUGUUUGCGGCGGUACAUCAGCGCCGCAUCUCCGCAGUAACAUAUACGAAUGAGAAGCUGUUGAAGGCAAUGCGGCAGCUGCAGACGACGUGUGCCGGCCGCCCGCGGCUUCGUUCCGCGCUGCAGCAGCUCUCCGCUAUUCCUUACGGCGACGGACAGCACGCAGGCGGAGACGCGGCGGCGCUGCAGAGUGCUGCGCUGGGGGAGAUUGUCUUUUACGAUCCCGUCCAGGAUGCGUGGCUGUUUCGCAACAAGCUUUUCCACUCCGCCUCCCGGUGCUGCUGGCCGCAGGCGCGCGGUGAGAUGAGGAGGUGAUGGGGAAGGGCGGGUGGUGGCUCUGCGCGAGCGCGUGGGUGUCGGGUGGAUGGGAGUGUGCACUGAUGUAGGUGCACCCUCGCGUGCUGCGACUGGCACCGCCGCCCUCCUCGCCCCAUGGGGGGCACACGGGGUCGCUGCUGCUCGCAUCCCCUGCUCUUUGGUGAUGUUCCUUUUUUUUCUUGUGGUGCAGGGCCGCGGCGGUGCGGGGAUGGGCGGUGCUGCAUCCCGCCCGCACAGACACCGAGGCCGCCCCCCGCACCUCCCCCCCUGCACACACGUGUCCAUCGGCCUCGCGCAAGCGCUCCUAGGACAACGCCGACCAGAG